GUUCCUUUUUUCUGUUCUACUAUAUACAUGAGAAAUGCUUAUUUGGUGUUUCAAAAUUUGAAAAAAUUAAAAACCCACAAAAUUGCUCUAACAUGAAUGUCUCCUCCUACCCUUUUCCACAGGAAAUGCACAGAGGGAAGGAUGAGGAACUAUGCCUUGACUUGAGGAAGGAAAAGUGCCUGUAGUCCCUUGGCAUUAUUGAGGAAACACACCUCCAGGCUGGCAUCUUCAUCAUCCUGGCUUCAUGUUCCUGUGAAAUUGAUGCUUUGGCCACAAGUUCAUUCAACAAAAGGUACUGACGUCAUCAAAGCCUGGAGCUCCUAAGGGGCACCUGAGGGAGGACCAGUUUAUGCAGAAUAUUGGACAGUAGACAUUGACAGGUGCAGGCCCACCAAUGAAGGAGGUUCUUUAUGAGAGCUGAGGUCACAGAGACCAAUCCUGUAAACAUUAUACAAGUAAGACUCCCAGGGGGAAGCUAGGAUUUCACUGUCUUUGAGCUCAGAAUAGAUUAUGCCUGCCAUUGCUCAGCAUGUGGGAAGACAAUGUUUAUGCUAGUAAAAUGUGCGUCAGAUAACAAUAACAAUAAAAGAACAACC